rnacentral:SRP_RNA from 1 species
CCAUACCAGCCGGGGAGAUAGCGGAGCCCUGUACCUGCAACCCGCUACAGCAGGGGUGGAUCCCCCUCCUGAGAGUGAAUCUUCUCCGAAUUGAGUUCUUUUUCUUGUGUUGACGAACGGGUCUCGCGCAAUGCGGAGCCGUGAACCAUGUCAGGUGAGGGAUCAAGCAGCAUUAAGCGGUAAACCGUAUGUGCCGCGAGGUUGCCUGUUCUGAGCAAGGAACUGAAAGAUCGCGGGGGCGUGAAACCCGAAGUUGGGGUGUAUGG